ensembl:lncRNA
CAAAUACACUGCUGGAACACCGAUUUAAGGUGUUUACUGUUUUAAUAAUUCUAAAGAUUGCUCAGAAAGAGAAAGGCAUUUACAUGACUAUUGCCAAAUCUGCCUACUACCAGAGUCAGUUCGAUGUCUAAUUAUUAGUGGGCAUGUAGACCUCCUCAGUGGCGGCCACCUGUGUUAAUUAGCGAUCUAACAUUCUCCGAACACCUGUGUGUAAGUGUAACUAACUGGGGAGGAAGUGUAGUGCAUCAACUGAAGGCAUGCCAUGCCGCUUGUGGAUCUGUUCAAAACUGCUACCGAGAAGUCUUCCCUCACUCCCCAUCCACCCCCAUGAAACAACACCUCUGAUAAGGGCGUCUAUGUGAUUUUUGCACUUGCGUAGGAGAGGAGACAGAGUGAUUCCAACGGCACUUGACACCCAGCGGGGCAAGGUGGUCACUUACCUGGAUGACUUUCAAGCAAAAGUUGGAGUCCCCCUCCACAGCUGGUAUCUGUGCUCUCCCUUCAUCUUGGAGUUCUUAAUGGCCCCUAUGGCUGGAGAACUUACCCAGACGAAUCACACAGUCCUCAUCCAUACACCCAGUACAGCCUUUUGUGUCCUAAAUCUAAGAGCAGUCUAUAACGGCCCAACCUAGUCUAAGGGUAUCCAUUACAAAACAAGGGGAUUGUUUUGCAGUUUUUUUUUAUCUUCCCGCUUGUAAUGUUGAUGAAACGUGGCAAGGCUUAAUCAGCAAAUCUCUAUUUUUCA